UGAAUAUGAGAAACCGUCUCUUAAUUUUUAACUAAAAAAGUUAAGAGCCGGCUCUUAAAUAAGAUAUUUAAGAGUCGGCUCUUAACUUUUUUAAUUAAAAUUUUUUAGUUAAGAGACGGUUUCUUAUAUUCC
rfam:Brassica napus, WGS project CCCW01000000 data, contig: 19625